UAGGGGUUAUCUAUCAUAAUGACGUUAAAGUAAUCCAUGUGCCAGCCCUACCCCUGCUCAACACACACAUAUUUUAGUCUUACUACACCUAUGCUAAUUCCCAGGUAUACCUUGGUUUCUGUGGAAAAAUGCAUGCCCAGAUUCAAUCAACCAACCUAAAUAACAAUCCUUGCAAACUCAGUCCUUGGUGAGUAGAGGAUUCCCUGCCUGUGCACCAGACUGGAGGCCUCCUUAAAAUUAAGAAUGGGAGAAAUUCCAGGAAGGAUAGAGUUCGGGUUCAAUUUUAAAGUAAUAAGACCAGUUUAGGGAUGUGCUUGGGGAAAUGGAUCACUCGCCAGAUGGAGCUCCUUUUGUCUUCCACAAUACUGCACAUCCACUCCCAAGUUUUUGUUCACGCUAAUUCUCCUGAAUGGGUUACCCGCUCCCUUCCCCUCCCCCUGGUUAGACUCAGCCCAUCUUCUAGGUCCGUUCUUGAAGUUGCCUGAAAACUUCUCCAGGAUGUACCCACCUGCCCUUCUGAACUCUUGGGGGCACUUAGCCCAUGUUGCUAUCUCCACAUGCUCUACAAUAGUCUCAUAUAUGUUUCUCCAAAUCACAUUAUAAACUCCUCAAGGGCAGUGGCCAUGCCUGGUGCCUCCCUAGGGGCGGGGGGGAGUUCAUAUUGAUACUCACAAAUCCUUGAUCCUUUUAUGGAAUUGACACUGAAAUCCUGGCCAUCUCCUACCCCUCUCUAUCAUAUAUGCUCUAGCCCUCUACCUCACAGAAAAUGGGGAGAAUGUAAUGGGACUAGCCCAGAACAGCCUGGGAUUAUAGAUGUCAACAGAAGGUAUGGUUGUUUAUAUCCACCAAGGUUUCUGCUUGUGUGGGGAAACCCCAUGCUUUUUAGGAAGGAGGACAUCCUAUUAGAGCAGCAAGCUCAGCCAGGGGUUGUGUGGGGUGACAGGUUGAGAGGACAAUCAGAGAGGCUAAGAGAAGGCCAAGGUACUCUGCAUAAGAGAAGCUGAGGGAGAUACCCAGCUGAAGGACUGAUAUAUCAGAAGAGGCUGGAAAGAGGAGGUUGUUGGAAGGACAACCUGUGUGGCUACAAGGACAAAAACAGGGAGAGGACCAGGAAGAAGAAGACAAAGAAGGAGACAUAGAACAGCCAUCAUGAGGAGUGAAACUUUGGGGUAAAGAAGGACAUGUUAAAGACAAUUUUGAAGAGUUGUGCCAUGUGACAUAUAGCCUCCUCCUUCCCUCCCUCAGAAACCUGCAGUAAUAUCAACACUGCUCCCUGAUGUUUUCAGAAUCAGGUGUGUGGAGUGUUCAGUUCAUUUUUUCAGUAAGGCAACGGGUACAGCAGUUCUCACAGUGGAUGAGGGUUGAAUGAACAGAAGUCCAAGGAAACCCAGCCUGGGGACAAAUGGGUAAUGUUCUCUUCCUUCCUUCCUUCCUUCCUUCCUUCCUUCCUUCCUCCCUCCCUCUUUCUUUCUUUCUUUCUUUUUUUCUUUCUUUCUUUCCCUCUUCUUUCCUUCUUUCUUCCUUCUUUUUUUUUUGAGGGUGUCAGAGUCAUUCUUUAUUGGUACAAAGACUAAAUAAGAAAAAUACAAUUUGAGAAAAUGAAAAACAAAAUAGGCAUCCUGAGUCUCACUAGAUUAAUACUGUUUUUCCUUAUUUUUUUUCAAACCCUGGUUGAACUUUUGAGAAAUGUGUUCUUAACCUAAACCCCAAAUAGACCUCUGAGACAAAGGAAAAUCCCCAUCUUUGGCAACUUAUGUUGUACCCAUGGGCAGCUGAUUGCUGCUUACUUGUGGCUCAAUUAACAGAAGAAAAAAAAAUCCAGCAGUUCUGAAGUGUUUUCCUGCCUCUUCUCGGGAAGACCAGAGGUUGAGAAGGAGCUUCCCACCUCUGCGGGACAGCAUUUGGCCCCAGCAGCCGCACCCCAUGGGCUACAUAGCAUGCUCACACUCACCAUCUAAUUUGAGAAACUAGAGCAAGCCAAGAGCAACAGAUUGUGAUUUGUGGGUGUCCAACACGCCAGAAAGCGGUCAGCGUGUAGGCGACAGAUGGGAGAGGGUGGUAUUCCUUCGCCGGUGGCGGGGAAGGCUGAGGGCCACCUCCAUUUUGAAACCUGUGGCUUUUCCCUGUGCAGGAGACCUGGCCACGCUGGGUGGCCCUCAGGAAAGUCUGAGUGUACAGGCCUUGGAGCCAGAAGGUCAGGCGUGGUUACAACAAAAAUAAACUGUGGUGAUGAGAACCCUGGCUCAGUGCACACAUUUGUGGCCUUGGACUGAAGACACCGGCCACAGUAUGAUUUGCAUUCACCAAAAAUAGUCAUUUCAGCAUCUGAGAGUGAGAUUGGGAAGGAAGAGCCAAGCUCAAUUUCUCACUCUCUAGCUGCUAUUUUUCUCCAGGGGACCAAACACAUCACCACAGUCCUUGUUCUUCCUUCUUGCUUCAAUCACACCUGCUCAGGCUUGGGUACCCUCACUCAACAAAAGUUUAUUUAGGACCAUUUAUGCACCAGACAUUGUGCUAGACACUGGGGAUUCCACAGUGAACAAAUUACAUGUGGCCCCUGCCCUCAAGGGCCUGAGAGUCUUGUUGGGCAUGUAUGAGUUUCCUGGGGCUGUCCUAACAAAGCACCACAAAUGAGGGGGCUUAAAACAACAGAACUUUAUUGUCUCACAGUUCGGGAGGCCAGAAGUCCAAAAUCAAGGCUUUGACAGGGCUGUGCUCCUUCCAAAGGUUCUAGUGAAGAAUCCUUCCUUGUCUCUUUCAGCUUCUGGUGGCUGUGGGCAAUCCCUGGCAAUCACCAGUGUUCCUUGGUGUGUAGAUGCUUCACUUCAGUCUCUGCCUCUGUCUUCAUGAGGCUUUCUCCCCUGUGUGUCUGUGUGUCUGUGUCCAAACUUCCUUCUUCCAUUAAAGACAACAGUCAUAUUGGAUUUAGAGCCCACCCUAAACCAGCAUGAUUUCAUCUUAACUAAUUUCUUCUUUAAAGACACUAUUUCCCAAAAAAGGUUACAUUCUGAGGUUCCAGGUGGACGUGAAUUUGUGGGGGGAGGGCACCUGGUGAACUGGGUGUCAAAUGACAAACCAGUAAACACAAAUAAAAAGAUAUGGGGCAGGAUUAUACGGCAGGUGCUAACCUGGUUGUUUUCUGUAUGUUUCCAUUCCACCUCCUUCUCCCAGGCACACCUAGUCAGCCUACACCAAAGCAGAAACAAGAGCAAAAGGAAAAAGCACAUGGGGUGCCCCAGGAAGAUUCUUGGAUGCAUGCAACUUACAGAGUCUGCUUUUCCUCUCCCAGUGAAGAGCCCAGAUAUGGCAGGGCCUGGAGAAAGGAGAAUAAGAAGACAGCAUGAUGGCUUCUUGAAGGUUGCCUAAAGAUGCAAUGAGGCACGGCCACUGGAACACAAGGCAUCUGAUUGUAGUCUCCUGCCCUUCACUAGAGUCGACCAUAGCAAAUGAGAUGACCAAAAUGUCCUUUGGAUACUCAGAACUGUGGGUAUAUUCUUUAAACAUGAUUUGUGGUUCACAAGCCUGCACUCCUUUCACUGAAAUUUCUUCGAUCAGGUAGAAAAGGAAUUUACCAGAAGAGUAUCGGGUAGCUGACAAUUACCAGGAGGACUGGAGAAACACGCUUGGGGCUGUUUUGAGGGGAAGCAGUCACGUGGCCAUCAGGCCCUGGUGCUGCAAUUUACAGCAUUGCAACUUAGACCAGGGACUUCCUUAACUACAACUUCCACUGCCUUUGGAUGUACCAGGAGCACUUCUGCACCAAAAACAACCUUUCGGUUACUGCCCCCGCCAAAAAAAUCCCCUCUACCAACUUCACCAAAAAAUAGAUUCUAGAUGGUGCUGGCAUCCUUACAUUACCCACUUUCUAAGAGAAGUUUCAUGCGCGCAUGGUGUCUGAUUGGUGGAGCCCAGGCCACAUGUCAAUUGUUUGCUCAAAUCAGAAUCCAAACAGUCUAUUGAGUUUAUUCAGUGGUUACGUCUCAAGUAUUCUUUAAGUCACUUUUAAUCUAGAAGAGUCCUUCCUGCAUUUUUCUUUACAAGUAACUGACUUGCGAAAGAAACCAAAUCAGAUUCUCGAGUGUCUUACAUCCUAGCUUUCAUUGAUUCCUUUUUCAUGAUGCCAUUUAACAUGGCCUUCUCCCCACUAUAUUUUCUAUAGAUGAGGAAUUAGAAUUAAUGGCUGGAUUUGACUCAAGUUCAACUUUUUUCAAGUACACUUCACUGGUGAUACUGUUUGUAUGCUGGAUUUGGAGGUUCAUGACGUCUGAUUGCAUUUAAAGCGUUGCCAAGAUGGAUCAGUGAUCUAGGCUGGAAAUAGCCUGAGUCUCUGUUAUAAAGUUCCUCAUUAGCCUCUAUCCUAUCCUCUACUGAUGACCACCACGGAAUGGUAAUUUUUUUAACUGUGCCAUUUCUUCCAUAAUUCAAUUCCUCUAUGACUCUGAUAUAGAAGAACUUUCCUUCAUCCACGAGGGCUGUUUGGUUACUCUGAAGUUUGGAUUGUACUGAAAUAGCAGGACAAGUUCUGGGGGUAUUCUGGAACAUUCCAUGAAAUCAGUGCAUUAAUUGAGUUACAUUUAGAAUGCACUAAAGAAGCUGAAUUUUGAAAGGACAUCUGUAUUGAAUCUGUGUAAAAUAAAUAAAUAAUGCUUUGGUAUUCACUUAAUCCCUAAAGUAUCAGCUUUUUCAACCUGGAUACACAGAAUUGGUUUUCCAUAAAGGAAGCAUAGAGUUUUCAACCAGGAAAGCCCUGGGUAAAUACUGACCAAUUUACUGAUGGAAUAGCCAAUAGAAAAUCCAGUGUAGUGGUUCCCCAUCCUCUUUCUCCUGGUAGAUACAUGGCCAAUGACACCCAAUACCUCCAAAGAUGUGACAAUACGGUAGCAUUAAUUAUGUGCCAGGCACUGUGCUGAGUGCUCUACACCCACAAACGCAUUUAAUCCUCACCGUAACCCCCGAAGACUGAUAUUCUUAUUACUCCCCCCAUUCCACAGAUGAGAAAACUGAGGUAAAGAAUCAAUGAUCAAUGAAGAACUCACGUGACAUAGAUUACACUGAUCAUGACAGGCUGGUGGAGGCUCUGAUUUACGGUUUAGGGAAGACAGUUACUUCUGACAGGCUGAUGCCAUUCAGUUCCAGAUGGGUUUAGGGGUACCUCCCGAGUGAAUCGGGUUGCCUAAUAAUAAUAAUAGCUAGUAUUUAUAUAAGGCUGGGUGCUGAUAUACACUCUUUAAACAUAUUAACUCCCUCAUCUACUUAAAGGGCUUUUUUUCCCAGCAUGGGUCUCAGGCCAAACCUAUACCCCUGAGAAUACCCCCAGACCCCUAUGGGGUCCAGGCAGGGAAGCUAUUUUGAUCCAGCUUCUUGAAGGACCUGUCAGCCCAGCCUCGCCUCAUAGAGGUCAAUCAGUCCCAGCGCGAACGGUCUCAAGGACCUCUUGGUGAGCUGAGGUGACCUCCGAGAGAGAGAGAGAUUGUCAUUACCCUCCCUGAGGCCAUUUCCCUCUCCCCUCCCCACCCAGCAGGGCGCUCUCCGAUUAAUGCUAUGAUGCUUCUGAGCAGCCGUCUGCAUAGACUGCUUCAUCCUCUGUGACAUGAACCAAAGAACACAAAAUCUGGAGACAACGCUGAUGGGCGAGCCUCGUUCUGACUUGACAGCUUUCAUGUCUGUGUCAAUCUGUCUUUCCCCACUGAGGAAUCGUCAUGGCUUCAGCCUCCUUUCUAAUAAUAUAGUAAACAUCCAUCAGUGACUCAAGCAGAUAUUGGUUGCUACGCAAACUGCACCUUAUUCGGACUCUCUGGUGAUCCCAGAGUCAUCACUCACACCAAGCACGGGCUCCGCUCCACCUGACAAGGCCUCCCAUGCCGUGGCUUCUCGCCAGGGCUGCUCUCAGCCAGGACUGAUUAGCACCCUCUACCCCCAUCCCGUCCUCUGCCGUCUGGCCCACUCAGGCAGGCGGAAUUGAGAGGGAGAGUUCAAGAGCCGUGAAAAAUGAGCAAGCUUUGGGAAACAAGAGAGCCUGCAGACUGGGAGCUCUUCACGCCAAUUUUAGGGCCGCUCCUGUGAUGAGAGCAAUAAAAGAAAGAGCAAUUUAUGCAAUUUAGAAGCAAAUGGCCCUUUCAUCUGCAGCGGCUGUUGAAUGCAAAGCGCACUCCACUGGAGAGGAGAAGCCCAAGCCGGCUCGCAGCGUAGCCUGGACGUCGCAGAGAAAAGGCCUGCCUUGCUGAGCCGUGGCUCCUGAAUCAGCACGAGCUGGAGCUGGAGCAGAAAAUCGCCUAGUGAAUGCAAGAUUUCCCUUUACGCUUUGUGUCUCGUGAAUGUUCUCUUCCAGGGGGCCGGCCGGCUCUGGGCACAGUCACAGGAGGCAGGAAGGACUUAGUUACUGCCUGCCGGCGUGAUGGAUAAAGUUAGGGACAAGAAGAAACGCUCAUAGCAGCACCCUAUCCCUGGGAUCGUUGCUGGGGAUAAGAGCGAAGAUCUGCUGUCACCAAAAAAAAAAAAACAAACCCUUUAUCAAUGUAAUGGCCACAUGAGGCCACUUUCCUCCCCUUCAUGUGGCUAAGUUUUGACCUCGCUGGGUCUCUGCUGCCCCAGGGUGGUUCAGAGACCACAUGGGCAUUAGAACCACUUGCCAGCUUGUUAGAAACGGGGGCACCUGGGUAGCUCAGUUGGUUAAGCGACUGCCUUCGGCUCAGGUCAGGAUCCUGGAGUCCCCGGAUAGAGUCCACAUUGGGCUCCCUGCUCGGCGGGGAGUCUGCUUCUCCCUCUGACCCUUCCCCCUCUCAUGUGCUCUCUCUCUCUCUCAUUCUCUCUCUUUCAAAUAAAUAAAUCUUUAAAAAAAAAAAGAAAGAAAGAAAGAAACGCAGACGGUUGGGUCCCACUCGGAGCUACUGAAUCAAAACCUGUGUUUUAACAAGCUCCCCUGGGCCAGCUGAGCAAUACCAUCGAGGCCCCCCUGUCGUGGGGAGACAGCUGGGGGCGGAGGGGAAGAGCCGAGCUGGGAAGAGGCACUUGCCUUUGCAGGAGAGAGGGGUCUGUAGCACAACAGCUCUUCCUACCUGCGGGGACCCUGCUGAAAUCAUGACACCUCAGCAGUGAGUCAGCAGUGGGCUCUUCCUUCUCGCUUCUAGCAGGUGCCUCCUCUCUCCGCAUCCUUUUGGAGUGUGAUGACCUGAGCCCCGUAGGUACGAAAAACUGUGUGUUCUCUUUCAUCUGUUGGAAACCAUGUUCCUAAAGCCUUCACGGAGGCUCUGACUGUACCAGAGCGAGGGGGGGCUCAGCUCUCUCUCUGGAGGGGCGCUGCCCGCACUCACCACCACCCCCUUUCUGGGCGCAGGCUUCAUAGCCUCAGCCGUCUGAGACCCGCAGGGAGGGCGACCUUCACCACCCAGGCCACUUCCAUGGAUGGGCCCACUUUAAGUUUUUCCACGUUGCUCCCCUCUGCCCCGAAUGCCAGGAGCGAAGAAAAGUUCUAUUACCAAAUGUUAUUUUAGAGGAAAACCUCCCAAGAUGUUUUUUUUUUUUCAUCUUGCAAAUAUUUGGGGAAUGUCUGUGCUGUCAGGACUGUGAAGAAUGUCUGCUUCAGGAUCCAUCAACGGCAUUUAAGAAAAUCAAUCUCUGAUGUGGUGAAUGUGCGAAGUGGAAUCUCUGAAGGAGAAGUAGGGCUUUUGUCUUUGUGCUGAAAACCAUGGGGGCGCGUGUUCUUAGCCUCUCAGAGCAGUCCGUUGGCAAUGCCGCUGGCGGACCCCCCACCCCCGCCCCCUCUGUGCUCCAAAGGGGCGCUCGGGCGCCCAGGUGGCUCAGUCGGUUGGGCGACUGCCUUCGGCUCGGGUCAGGAUCCUGGAGUCCCGGGAUCGAGUCCCGCAUCGGGCUCCCUGCUCGGCGGGGAGCCUGCUUCUGCCUCUGACCCUCCCCACUCUCAUGUGCUCUCUCUCUCUCAUUCUCUCUGUCUCAAAUAAAUAAAUAAAAUCUUUAAAAAAAAAAGAAAAAAGAAACUCUUCCUCUGGGGCGCCCGGGUGGCUCAGUCGGUUGGGCGACUGCCUUCGGCUCCGGUCAGGAUCCUGGGGUCCCAGGAUUGAGUCCCCCGUCGGGCUCCCUGCUCAGUAGGGGGUCUGCUUCUCCCUCUGACCCUCUCAUUCUCUCU